GAUUAACGCUGGCGGCGUGCCUAACACAUGCAAGUCGAGCGGCAGCGAGUUUUACACUGAAUUCUGGAAGCUUCUAGUUGAAAGAGAAGAUUUAUUCAAGAAUUUUGUAUAAAAUGUCGGCGAGCGGCGGACGGCUGAGUAACGCGUGGGAACGUACCCCAAAGUGAGGGAUAACGCAUCGAAAGGUGUGCUAAUACCGCAUAUGGUCUUCGGAUUAAAGCCUUCGGGCGCUUUGGGAACGGCCUGCGUAAGAUUAGAUAGUUGGUGGGGUAAUGGCCUACCAAGUCGACGAUCUUUAACUGGUUUGAGAGGAUGAUCAGUCAGACUGGAACUGAGACACGGUCCAGACUCCUACGGGAGGCAGCAGUGAGGAAUCUUCCACAAUGGGCGAAAGCCUGAUGGAGCAACGCCGCGUGCAGGAUGAAGGCCUUCGGGUUGUAAACUGCUUUUAUAAGUGAGGAUUAUGACAGUAACUUAUGAAUAAGGAUCGGCUAACUACGUG
rnacentral:rRNA from 1 species